CAGCCACAUCAUGCUUAAACACCAAUUCCCGUAGGAUCACCAACAUUAAGCAACAUCAGGUCUGGUCAGUACCUAGAUGGGUGACUGCUUGGGAAUACCAGGUGCUGUAAG